rnacentral:lncRNA from 1 species
GCACACAUCAUCCGCCGCAGAGGAACCCGUGUGCUGGGUUCUGAGUCUCUUACCUCCAACAACUUCCUCUCAUCCAUAAAAAUGUCCUGGGUCAGUGAGAUGGCAUGGAGGGUGACCUGAAGGACAGCACCUCCCAGGAGUGUAGGGUGGGUCCCAAACUCCCAAGAUUCCCUGAAGAUGCCAGCAUUCAGAGACUUGAAGAAGAAGGUAAAGUGUUUGGUUUCCCCGGGCAGAAUCACACCUGGGAAAGACAGAGGCAGAGGCUGCUGUGGAGCAGGAGCUGGCUGAGAUGCCAACCUGGUUAUAGAAAGUGCACCACAGUGGCCCACAUCUGGCGACCAGUGUCCUGGUUUCUCAGGAGCAUAAGGUUUCCAGGUCUGUGUGACUUUUGAAUGUAGAGCUAGGGAAGCUCGGGUCAAUCAAGGGAUGGCUGGGCAUCCCCACCCCAGGUCUGUGCUCCCUGAGGCUGCUCCCUCCCCUGCACUCUCAAGAGUUCAACAGACAUAGUGGACCAUACACAUAAUGAGAGGAGGAGGGGAUGGGCCAGAUACUAACUAAACAUGGGGAUCCACCAGUCACUGAGCCAGCAAGAAGGAGAACUUCAGGAUACCUUCCCGGUUGUUAAAGUAAAACCUCUGCGUCUUGUUUUGCUUUAGGUCUUGGAAAAAAUCCUGGUGGGGCCGCCUUCGCCAGUUGUACCAAAUGGCCACCGUGCCGUUAUUGACCACAGUCAGUUCUGAGGACGUUCUCUCCCCUUCAAGGGUUUCAAAUGUCAGGCGGACACCAAUUCCGAUGUUUUUCUGUGGGAGGAAGAGGGUCUAAGGAGUAUCUUGGCUAGAGGUCUUGCCCUGGAGUGACCAACUCACCCCCCCACCCCCACCCCCGUUUCCUAUGACUUCUCUGAAAGUCCACUGUUCACUCUGAUCCUCUGAGCUUAGUCACCUUGAGUGGUGUCAGACUCUCCUGAUAAUUGUCUCUGAGGUUAUCAUCAAUACUAAGAAGAGAAAUAUUUUUUUAACUUGGUGUUCCUUUCUACUCCUUAGUAUCUGAAGAAUGUUCUAGAACUGGUAUUGGAGCAAUGACUCAGAGGUUAAUUUUCAAGCCCAAAGACUGGAUGGAGAUCUGAUCUCCAGAAGCCAGUAGUGUGUGGCAGCCUGCACACGGGAGGUAGAGACAGCAUCCCUGGGGCAAGCUGGCUAGCUAGACUAACCCAAACAUUAGCUCUAGGUUCAGUAAGAGACCCUACUGAGGUGGAAAGUGAAAGGGGAAGACACCCUAUUCAACCAUACAUGUUACAUGUUCACAGGAGUGCAUGUAUACUGGUACAUACACAAAUACACACACACACACACAUGUGCUCACACAUAUUUGGACAUGCCCACAUAUGACUGUACCCAUACAUAUUACAUACAUAUACAAGUUUUUUCAAGAUGUGUAGUCCUGGUUGUCCUGGAACUAACUCUGUAGAUCAGACUGGCUUCAAACUCACAGAGAUCCUCCCACACACAUACCCAGCUCUGCCUCCCUAAUGUUGGGAUUCAAGGUGUUCACCACUCCUGCCCAGCCAAUGAUCUUUUGAGCCUUGUGAUCUCACUUCUGCUUGAGUUAGUGCUGCGGUUACCAUUUUCAGGCAUGCGGAAUGUGUGAUCAGAUAAGAACACAAAUCAGAAGCUGUGGACUCCUCGUGACUAUCUCGGUCACCUUGGGGCCGCACCCAUGCAAGCGUGUGAGGCCCAAGAGGCCGUUUACCUUGUCCUCUGGGUUACUGCCUCUGACCCAGCAAGCUGGCUUCCCACAGAACAGCAGCGAAGGGCCGAGAAUAGGCAUGGGGACCAUGUCGGAGAGGUUGGUCAAGGAGUCUCUGUAGGAAAAGCCAGUUAUUUAUUUACCUGGAGGCUGAGCAGUCACACCACUUGGGACCGUGGACACAGAGAGCCAGUCAGUCUGCUGAGUUUCCUCAAAGUCUCCCUCCGCGGUUAUUCUCUAUGCAUAGCCACGGAGGGUUCUAGGGGAGUAUGGGGACAUUAAGUAGCAUAGUAAUGUCUGGGUAACCCCGACUAGGAUCCAAUUGUGGGGAGGAAGAAUAUGACAGCAGACAGCUAGCAGAGAUGUAGGAACGGGCUAGAGGAAAGGGGGACAGCUACUGGCCAGGCUGGAAUGAAGCCACUCUGAUUUUGCUUUCAGAAAGAAAAGCCCGCCCUCGGACACUAGUGGGGAUAAGGGUAGCAUGUUCUCCAGCUUCUCCCCUGGGGCUCAGACUCACAGAAAUACCGUGUCUUCCGAGGAGCUCUUCUGGAUCUUUUCAGGUGGCAAAUGUUCUUCCACUGUGACAGAUGAGAAGGGCUUCCCAUGGCCCACCACCUCCAGGCCAUCAAUAUCCUAAGAGGAGUAGAGAGAGGGAAUAUGAGCUGGUUGGCAGGUGUCACCUAAGGCACCUCAGGAUCGGGGAUGAAGGCAUUAGCAACCUGCUGGCUGAAAUCCAGCUCUGCCAUGAUACUCUGCAGCUCCUUGCGUCGGUAGAUCAGAAACAGACUCCGGUCCCAGGUGUAGCGGUACCAAGCAUCCUUCUGGGCUGGUAAUCCUAGAGUGGAGUUAGAAGAGCCUCAGCCCAGGCUGCUGUCAGUGCUUGCCCAAGGGUCCUGAGAUCACCAAUCCCGGCGGCACUUCUGAGAAGGAUUGGGGAAUGCAUACGGUUUCUGAGGGGUAGCUCUACAUCAGCAAUCUGGUCCUGUACCUCCCUAGCAAUGCUAUAUCGGAAUCCUACAAAAUCAGCUACCAGACGGCUAGACCUUCGGAUUACAGUAACAACAGCAACUACCUUCUGUUGAGUCUGAGCAAGGAGCCAGAACCCCUGAAUGCAAAUAAUGUCUCCUUUAACCCUCUCACCAUGCUUAUGCUAUAAAAUCAAGGGUGAUAGGAGACAAAUAACUCAUAGAAAUUCAGAAAGCCAGCACAGCUGGGAUGUGAUUCCAAGCAGCUGACUGGCAGGCUCUAAAGUAUGGCUAACCCAUGGGUAUAUAAUAUAAACCACACAUGCAAGCCACGUGUGUCCUUUCAAAUUUUCCAGAUGCAUGCUGAGAUGGUAGAACGGCUCUAGGUGAGAUUCACUUUAGCAUGGUUUAUCGAACUCCAUAUAUGAAGAUGAUUACUCCAAUACGCAAUCAACAUAAAAAGCAAAUUUUUCUCCUCAAAUUGUUCUAUACUGUCAGCUCAUUCCUAGACUGACUAACUCAUGUUCCAGGGACUCAGGAGGUUCAUGGGGCUGGUGAAAGCUCUAUGCCCAGGAUCCCAGUUACCAGGCCUCCCUUGUCACUUCUAUCAGUUUCACUGAGGUAUGAACUAGAGCCCAGGUAAACUCCGAGACUUGUUCAAAGCCAAGUGAGGCAGGAUUUGGGCCAGAGUCAUGCUGAACCACCUCCACACUACCCUGCCUCUAGCACUAGGCACAAGGAGCUAACAGAGUUGGGCCCCUGAAGUGGACAUUUCUAGUUUCUUUGGAGACACGGUUGAGUCACGUGAUGUUUUUCUAGAAACUGUCUUACGAGAGGACAUUUUUUUUGCUGAAGCAGACACAUGUGAGGAUGUUUUGCUGAGAAUCGACAUGGGGUGUUUUCCUGGAAGCAGCCUGGGAAAAGGGCAUGUGAUGUUGUGCUAGAGCGGAUGUUUGAGAGAACAUGUGAUGUUUGGAAAGGGUAGAAAUAUAACCCAACAGACUGUGGACGAUGCUGUGUGGUAUUGGUUCGCCUUCCCACUCUUUGCUGGUCAUCACUUGUCAUGAUUUCAUAGAAACACCACCAAAGAACUUCCAGUGGUGUUCCGGUGGCCUCUUGCCAAAGAGUCUCGCGGUUUCCUCUGGAUUGAACUGUCAUUGCUGAUUUGUGAAUGGUGUUUGUGAGUGGAUGAAGCGACCACUGCUGAUUUGUGCUAACUGAACUGCUGAUAUCCUGAGAAGGCCGAUCGUAUUCACAUCAAAGAACUAUUUCUGAACAGGUCCACAUCCUCCUUUGCCCUAUUAAUCUUUCCUUUCCACUACCUCUGAUGGGUGGUGGGCUGGAAGGGAGGUUAAAGCAUUUAGGUACACUUACUAAAGUAGGUUUUG